CACUCGAUGCAACGUUCGAAGCCACGAACACUUCUCUCUCCCUUUCUCAGCCAUGGAAGUCUGAGAAAGAAGGGAAAAAUAUUACAGAGAGAGAGAGAGAAGAGAAUGGCCUUCCUUUUUCCCAAAAUCUCUUCUUCUCCCCUCCUAGUCCUCCCCCAUCCGAACCCUUCCCAAAAUAACCCUUCUCGGCUCCUCCUCUCUUCUUCCGCUCUCACCAAGCUCGAGCCCCAGCCCGUGCGCGAUGCCACGCGCGAGAAGCACCCCGCGUUGCACGGAAAGUUCCCCGCCGCGUUGCAAGAAACCAAGAAGAAGAACGAGAAGAACAACAGCAACAAGGACGACUUCUACCUCAACCUCGGCCUCGCCGUCCGCACCCUCCGCGACGAGCUCCCCUUCCUUUUCUCGAAAGACCUCAAUUACGACAUCUACCGGGAUGAUAUCACCUUCGUCGAUCCGCUUAGUACCUUUCAUGGAAUCGAGAACUAUAAAUUGAUCUUCUGGGCGCUCCGAUUCCAUGGCCGGAUAUUGUUUAGGGAGAUUGGGUUGGAGAUUUUUCGGGUCUGGCAGCCGUCGGAGAACAUGAUCUUGAUCCGGUGGGAGCUGCAGGGGGUCCCGCGGGUGCCGUGGGAGGCGAGGGGACGGUUUCAGGGGACGUCGAGGUAUAGAUUGGAUCGGAAUGGGAAGAUAUAUGAGCACAAAGUUGAUAACUUGGCGUUCAACUUCCCCCGGACGGUGGUCGGGCCAGUGACCGUGAUGGAUUUGGUGGCUGCCACGUGCCCGCCGAGCCCCAAUUUGACGUUUCGGGGGGUGGCUGUUGAGGGUUCUGGGGUUCUAGGGUCGUGUUCGUGGGUAGAGCUUUAUCGGGCAGUUAGGAGGACUGUGGAGCAAGAGGAACAGGUUCUGGUGGGGAUUGGUAUGGAGAAUUUUGUCACUUGUUCAUAGCUUGGGCAUUGGAAGGAAGCUGGUAGUGUAUAUAAGAAGGGUGGGAGGGCAAUGUUAAGAUAGUCAUGAUAUCCCAUGGGGUGGAAGGACUAGUCUUCUCCCAUAUCUUGUGAGCGGUGAAAGUAUUUCUGGCAAGAGGUGACAAUGAUUAGAGUUCAGAGCAAGCUUGGAUCUUGACUUCCUAAUUCUUCAACUGGAAUUUGGUAAUUGCUUAUGGGCUAGAAUUGGUCUAUUGUUAUUGUUAUCAUAGACAUAAAGCAACUUGAGACUUCUAAGUUGCUGCAACUAGGUGAAUAAUAAUAUUAAUGAUUAAAAGGCAGAAGUCUAGUAGUCUGUGAUUGUCAGGAGUUGAAAUGCUCGUAGGGAUUGGCAGCGUAUGAGUGCAGGUAGUCUCCAUCGGAAUACGGUAGCCACCAUCUGAUUUCAGAAAUGGUAUGGAAGUUUGGUCUGGUCCCAUCCUUACAAGAACAUUAUGGCUUCUGUUGGAAAUACAUGAUACCAUGGUUUCAAAUGAUGUGGAAAGUGAUUAAAUGCCACAGCUGAGCAUGAUGUGGGGUGGGAGUAGUGGGAGGGGUGCCAUUGGGUUGAUCUGAUGAAUGCGACAAUUUAAUUUUAUAAACUAAAGUGGUGCUUUGGUUUUUGCAAUAUGGUAUAAAACCUUCUUUCCUAUUGUUUCAAUUCUGAUGGUUUACCAACCCAAUGGAAAGGAAAGUGCUUUAGUUAUGCAAA